GAUGAACGCUGGCGGCGUGCCUAAUACAUGCAAGUCGAGCGAACAGACGAGGAGCUUGCUCCUCUGACGUUAGCGGCGGACGGGUGAGUAACACGUGGAUAACCUACCUAUAAGACUGGGAUAACUUCGGGAAACCGGAGCUAAUACCGUAUAACAUGUUGAACCGCAUGGUUCAACAGUGAAAGACGGUCUUGCUGUCACUUAUAGAUGGUUCCGCGCCGCAUUAGCUAGUUGGUAAGGUAACGGCUUACCAAGGCAACGAUGCGUAGCCGACCUGAGAGGGUGAUCGGCCACACUGGAACUGAGACACGGUCCAGACUCCUACGGGAGGCAGCAGUAGGGAAUCUUCCGCAAUGGGCGAAAGCCUGACGGAGCAACGCCGCGUGAGUGAAGAAGGUCUUCGGAUCGUAAAACUCUGUUAUUAGGGAAGAACAAAUGUGUAAGUAACUAUGCACGUCUUGACGGUACCUAAUCAGAAAGCCACGGCUAACUACGUG
rnacentral:rRNA from 1 species